rnacentral:rRNA from 1 species
AACGAACGCUGGCGGCAGGCCUAACACAUGCAAGUCGAGCGAGGACUUCGGUUCUAGCGGCGGACGGGUGAGUAACGCGUGGGAAUGUGCCCUUCUCUACGGAAUAGCUCUGGGAAACUGGGAGUAAUACCGUAUACGCCCUAUUGGGGAAAGAUUUAUCGGAGAAGGAUCAGCCCGCGUUGGAUUAGGUAGUUGUUGGGGUAAUGGCCUACCAAGCCGACGAUCCAUAGCUGGGUUGAGAGGAUGAUCAGCCACACUGGGACUGAGACACGGCCCAGACUCCUACGGGAGGCAGCAGUGGGGAAUCUUAGACAAUGGGGGCAACCCUGAUCUAGCCAUGCCGCGUGAGUGAUGAAGGCCUUAGGGUUGUAAAGCUCUUUCAGCUGGGAAGAUAAUGACGGUACCAGCAGAAGAAGCCCCGGCUAACUCCGUG